rnacentral:tRNA from 1 species
GGCCGGGCUGGUCGGCGGCGUUCUGGGCCUUGGCGCGGCCUAUGGCCUGGCCUGGUUCGGCCUCUGGCCGCAGCCGCCA